AUACGGAGGGUGCAAGCGUUAAUCGGAAUUACGGGGCGUAAAGCGUGCGUAGGUGGUUUGUUAAGUUAGAUGUGAAAGCCCCGGGCUCAACCUGGGAACUGCAUUUGAAACUGGCAUACUAGAGUAUAGGAGAGGAAAGUGGAAUUUCAGGUGUAGCGGUGAAAUGCGUAGAUAUCUGAAGGAACAUCAAUGGCGAAGGCAGCUUUCUGGACUAAUACUGACACUGAGGUACGAAAGCGUGGGUAGCAAACAGGAUUAGAAACCCUAGUAGUCC
rnacentral:rRNA from 1 species